rnacentral:rRNA from 1 species
AUUGAACGCUGGCGGCAGGCUUAACACAUGCAAGUCGAGCGGGGUGAUGGUGCUUGCACUAUCACUUAGCGGCGGACGGGUGAGUAAUGCUUAGGAAUCUGCCUAUUAGUGGGGGACAACAUCUCGAAAGGGAUGCUAAUACCGCAUACGUCCUACGGGAGAAAGCAGGGGAUCACCUGUGACCUUGCGCUAAUAGAUGAGCCUAAGUCGGAUUAGCUAGUUGGUGGGGUAAAGGCCUACCAAGGCGACGAUCUGUAGCGGGUCUGAGAGGAUUAUCCGCCACACUGGGACUGGGACACGGCCCUGACUCCUACGGGAGGCAGCAGUGGGGAAUAUUGGACAAUGGGGGGAACCCUGAUCCAGCCAUGCCGCGUGUGUGAAGAAGGCCUUAUGGUUGUAAAGCACUUUAAGCGAGGAGGAGGCUCUUUUGGUUAAUACCCAAGAUGAGUGGACGUUACUCGCAGAAUAAGCACCGGCUAACUCUGUGCCAGCAGCCGCAGUAA